rnacentral:rRNA from 1 species
UGCCAGCCGCCGCGGUAAUACGGAGGGUGCAAGCGUUGUUCGGAAUUAUUGGGCGUAAAGCGCGCGUAGGCGGGCUACUAAGUCUGAUGUGAAAUCCCUCGGCUCAACCGAGGACCUGCAUUGGAUACUGGUAGUCUUGAGUCCCGGAGAGGAAGGCGGAAUUCCCAGUGUAGAGGUGAAAUUCGUAGAUAUUGGGAGGAACACCGGCGGCGAAGGCGGCCUUCUGGACGGUGACUGACGCUGAGGUGCGAAAGCGUGGGUAGCAAACAGGAUUAGAUA